rnacentral:rRNA from 1 species
AGUGAACGCUGGCGGUAGGCCUAACACAUGCAAGUCGAACGGCAGCACAGGAGAGCUUGCUCUCUGGGUGGCGAGUGGCGGACGGGUGAGGAAUACAUCGGAAUCUACUUUUUCGUGGGGGAUAACGUAGGGAAACUUACGCUAAUACCGCAUACGACCUACGGCUGAAAGCAGGGGAUCUUCGGACCUUGCGCGAAUGAAUGGACCGAUGUCGGAUUAGCUAGUUGGCGGGGUAAAGGCCCACCAAGGCGACGAUCCGUAGCUGGUCUGAGAGGAUGAUCAGCCACACUGGAGCUGAGACACGGUCCAGACUCAUACGGGGGGCAGCAGUGGGGAAUAUUGGACAAUGGGCGCAAGCCUGAUCCAGCCAUACCGCGUGGGUGAAGAAGGCCUUCGGGUUGUAAAGCCCUUUUGUUGGGAAAGAAAUCCAGCUGGUUAAUACCCGGUUGGGAUGACGGUACCCAAAGAAUAAGCACCGGCUAACUUCGUGCCAGCCGCCGCGGUAA